rnacentral:rRNA from 1 species
CCCUUAGAUGUCCUGGGCCGCACGCGCGCUACACUGAGUGUCUGAGAUACGAGUCUGCCUGGUCCGGCAAGGUCUAGGUAAUCGCUAAAAGACACAUCAUGCUUGGGAUAGAUUAUUGCAAAUAUUAAUCUUGAACGAGGAAUUCCUAGUAAGCGCAAGUCAACAGCUUGCGUUGAUUACGUCCCUGCCCUUUGUACACACCGCCCGUCGCUACUACUGAUUGGAUGUUUAAGCGAGGUUCUCGAACUGCUAGCGACUUAGCUUCGGUGAGGUCGCAGUGUGGGAAGUGAAUCUAGCUUUGGUGUCUAGAGGAAGUAAAAGUCGUAACA